rnacentral:rRNA from 1 species
GAUGAACGCUAGCGACAGGCCUAACACAUGCAAGUCGAGGGGCAGCAUGAAAUUAGCUUGCUAAUUUUGAUGGCGACCGGCGCACGGGUGAGUAACACGUAUGCAACCUGCCUGUAAGCGGGGGAUAACCCAGAGAAAUCUGGACUAAUACCGCAUAAUAUCAUAGUUUCGCAUGUUACUAUGAUUAAAGAUUUAUUGCUUACAGAUGGGCAUGCGUCUGAUUAGCUAGUUGGCGGGGUAACGGCCCACCAAGGCUACGAUCAGUAGGGGUUCUGAGAGGAAGGUCCCCCACAUUGGAACUGAGACACGGGUCCAAACUCCUACGGGAGGCAGCAGUGAGGAAUAUUGGUCAAUGGUCGAGAGACUGAACCAGCCAUGCCGCGUGAAGGUGACGGCCCUAUGGGUCUUAAACUUCUUUUUGAAGGGAGCAAUAAGGUUCACGUGUGGACUGAUGAGAGUACCUUACGAAUAAGCAUCGGCUAACUCCG